AGCGAACGCUGGCGGCAGGCUUAACACAUGCAAGUCGAGCGCCGUAGCAAUACGGAGCGGCAGACGGGAGAGUAACACGUGGGAACGUACCCCUCGGUUCGGAAUAACUCAGGGAAACUUGAGCUAAUACCGGAUACGUCGGCAACGAGAAAGAUUUAUCGCCGAGGGAUCGGCCCGCGUCCGAUUAGCUAGUUGGUGGGGUAAUGGCCCACCAAGGCGACGAUCGGUAGCUGGUCUGAGAGGAUGAUCAGCCUCACUGGGACUGAGACACGGCCCAGACUCCUACGGGAGGCAGCGGUGGGGAAUAUUGGACAAUGGGCGCAAGCCUGAUCCAGCCAUGCCGCGUGGGUGAUAAGGCCUUAGGGUUGUAAAGCCCUUUCGGCGGGGAAGAUAAUGACGGUACCCGCAGAAGAAGCCCCGGCUAACUUCGUGCCAGCCGCCGCGGUAAAAC
rnacentral:rRNA from 1 species